UGAUAUACAUUGCCAUGCAAACUUCCACCGAAAAUUGGUUCGAACGAGAUCUAGUAAGUAGUUUUUUUUUAAUACGUCAUAAAAAUUAAAAAAAAAAUUUUUUUUCAUCAAACCCAUACGUGUGGGGUAUCUAGGGAUAGGUCUUCAAAAAUGAUAUUUAGGUUUCUAAUAUCAUUUUUUUCUAAACUGAAUAGUUUGCGCGAGAGACACUUCCAAAGUGAAAAAAUGUGUGUCCCCCCCCCCCCUGUAACUUCUAAAAUAACAGAAUGAAAAAUCUAAAAAAAAUAUAUGAUAUACAUUACCAUGCAAACUUCCAACGAAAAUUGGUUUGAACCAGAUCUAGUAAGUAGUUUUUUUUAAUACGUCAUAAAUGGUACGGAACCCUUCAUGGGCGAGUCCGACUCGCACUUGGCCGCUUUUUUGUUAUUCAAAAAGAUACAUAAAUUGUGUUAUUAAACCUAAAAAUAUGUUUCAAGGCUCGUCCGCGUCCGCUAGCCAUAAUGGGGCAAAAUCUAGCUCACGUAAAAAAAGUUGCAGAGCUAGCCAAGAAACUUUUCCGUGGCCUAAAGGUA